rnacentral:precursor_RNA from 15 species
CAAUAGAGCUGACCAUUAGCACCUGACACUACACCCAGGGAUAGAACAGCAGUUCACUUUGAAGUCCCCUUUUCUAUCCCUGGUACCAGUGCCACUGCUACUGCAAUCACUGCUGCCCU